AUUGAACGCUGGCGGCAUGCUUUACACAUGCAAGUCGAACGGCCGCGCGGGCUUCGGCCUGGCGGCGCGUGGCGAACGGAUGAGUAAUACAUAGGAACGUGCCCAGUCGAGGGGGCUAGCUUGGCGUCAGCAGGAUUAAUACAGCACCCGACAAGAGGGUGAACGGCGGGGAUCAUUAGACAACGCGCUAUUUGCUGGGACGAAGGGAGAUUAGCUAGUUGGUAGGGUAAAGUGGUACCAAGGCGACGAUCCGUAGCCGGUCUGAGAGGGCGACCAGCCACACUGGAACUGAGACACGGCCCAGACUCCUACGGGAGGCAGCAGUAGGGAAUUUUGGGCAAUGGGCGAAAGCCUGAUCCAGCAAUGCCGCGUGUGUGAUGAAGGCCUUCGGGUUGUAAAGCACUUUUAGCGGGGACGAAAAGAACUGUACGAAUACCACGACUUGAUGACGGUACCCGCAGAGAAAGCACCGGCUAACUACGUG
rnacentral:rRNA from 1 species